rnacentral:tRNA from 1 species
CGGGAUGGCGGAAUUGGUAGACGCGCCUGACUCAAAAUCAGGUGAUGGCAACAUCGUGUGGGUUCAAGUCCCUCUCCCGGC